UACGGGGGGGGCAAGCGUUGUUCGGAAUUACUGGGCGUAAAGGGCUCGUAGGCGGCCAACUAAGUCCGACGUGAAAUCCCCAGGCUUAACCUGGGAACUGCGUCGGAUACUGGAUGGCUUGAAUUCGGGAGAGGGAUGCAGAAUUCCAGGUGUAGCGGUGAAAUGCGUAGAUAUCUGGAGGAAUACCGGUGGCGAAGGCGGCAUCCUGGACCGACAUUGACGCUGAUGCGCGAAAGCCAGGGGAGCAAACGGG
rnacentral:rRNA from 1 species